rnacentral:rRNA from 1 species
UACGAAGGUGGCAAGCGUUGUUCGGAUUUACUGGGCGUAAAGGGCGCGUAGGCGGCUUGACAAGUCACUUGUGAAAUCUCCGGGCUUAACUCGGAACGGCCAAGUGAAACUGUCAUGCUAGAGUGCAGAAGGGGCAAUCGGAAUUCUUGGUGUAGCGGUGAAAUGCGUAGAUAUCAAGAGGAACACCUGAGGUGAAGACGGGUUGCUGGGCUGACACGUGACGCUGAGGCGCGAAAGCCAGGGGAGCAAACGGG